rnacentral:lncRNA from 1 species
AUAUCCUUUUCCAUUUUAUUUAUGAAAAGAAGCAAAAACAAUAAUCCAAAAAAAGCUAAAAGAAGGCCAAAUCCUAAACAUAAAAAAUUAGUCUGGGACCAACUGACACCCGAUCCAUCCUACAACAAAACUCUUAUCUGAUUUUAUCAGUGUGAUAAAUAAUCUAUUUCUUCAAACAACACAUUAUCCAAAUCCUGUUGGCAAUGUUGCAUUUCCCUUUCCAUCAUGUUCAUUGUGAUUGCUUCACCGACAUUUUAGUGUCAGUUGAUGCUCUCUUUUCGGGUGUUGUCUUCUUCGAUCUUGGAUCUCUUUUAUAUGGUUAGCAACUAAGUAUUUCUCUCAUUUAUUUUCUUAUUACCCCUUGCUUUCCUCGUUGUUAUACUGAGCUUUUUCUCCGCUAGAUUAUUCUCUUCUACUAACCAAGUAUCUCAUGUUGAUCUAUCUCUGAUUGUGUUGUAACUCGGACUCCUUGCCCUCUUCCGUCUAGGUGCAAUUGAGUUUGCCUUCUGAUAAGCUGAUAGUGCUAAUUUUCAUGUAUUCUUAGAACUUUGUACCGCCCUCUGCUUACUUUUUGACUUGUUUCUUUAAUUUGUGGAUCUGACUCUGAUAGCUUUAGAUUUUUGUACCCUGACCAAAGCUCGCCUUAAUUCCAGAUCCUUUAUAUUAUUUUCUUUCUUCUAUGUAUAUACCUUUUUUUUCCCCUUGAAAUCUCUAAUGUAAUGAUCUGGCAUUACUAGUAAAGUUGAGAUUCUUAUUAGUUGUCAUGAUUCGAUUUAUUAGUUAUGAUGACACCUACUUUAUCUCUCGAUAAGCUCAAUUGUAGCCCGAAUCUAUAAGCAAAUGGGCUAAUUUGAUAGAAAAAAGUCUUAAAAGUAAAAAAUUUGCAAGUAAAGACUUACAAUAAUAAAUCUGAAAGAUACAUAAAACAUCAAUAACUAUCUCACGACCUAGUGGUGCCGGUACAAGAGCCACUAGAAGAAAGAAACAUAAGUACUAUAGUAGUUAGUAUUAUACAACCUAAUUUCUCACCUACUAUAACCCACCAGAAAGUAAGCAAAUCUAUAGUCCAGAACUACUGGUAACAGACUACCAAAAUAAAUAAAGGAAGAAUGUGGAAUAAAUAUAGUCUAAGACUAAAAUACAUAAGAUAGUUCCAAAACUCAGUGAAAUCAAUACAAGAACUUCUAAUAGAAUGAGGCUACAAAUGAAGUGCUAAAUGAAUAUAUUGAUACAACGUAUCUCCGAAUACAACAUAAAGAUUAGUCUAGCACAUAAGAGGGAGAAUGAUAAUACUCUGGAUGCCAGAAGCUUACCCUAUGUCUUCAAACCAUAGCUGCUUCGCACAAUGCACACAAUAACGAAGAGAACCCCUACUGUGUUCUGUAGGCUGCAGAAGUGUAAUAUGAGUAUCAAACACGUGGAACUCAGUAGGCAACUGCCAGUUGAGCUUCAAAGAUAAUGCAAAUAUAAAUAUCAUGCAAUCAGGAAUGUAAACUGCACCCAAAUACCCCCCUCCCCCCCUCCCCCCNNNNNNNNNNNNNNNNNNNNNNNNNNNNNNNNNNNNNNNNNNNNNNNNNNNNNNNNNNNNNNNNNNNNNNNNNNNNNNNNNNNNNNNNNNNNNNNNNNNNNNNNNNNNNNNNNNNNNNNNNNNNNNNNNNNNNNNNNNNNNNNNNNNNNNNNNNNNNNNNNNNNNNNNNNNNNNNNNNNNNNNNNNNNNNNNNNNNNNNNNNNNNNNNNNNNNNNNNNNNNNNNNNNNNNNNNNNNNNNNNNNNNNNNNNNNNNNNNNNNNNNNNNNNNNNNNNNNNNNNNNNNNNNNNNNNNNNNNNNNNNNNNNNNNNNNNNNNNNNNNNNNNNNNNNNNNNNNNNNNNNNNNNNNNNNNNNNNNNNNNNNNNNNNNNNNNNNNNNNNNNNNNNNNNNNNNNNNNNNNNNNNNNNNNNNNNNNNNNNNNNNNNNNNNNNNNNNNNNNNNNNNNNNNNNNNNNNNNNNNNNNNNNNNNNNNNNNNNNNNNNNNNNNNNNNNNNNNNNNNNNNNNNNNNNNNNNNNNNNNNNNNNNNNNNNNNNNNNNNNNNNNNNNNNNNNNNNNNNNNNNNNNNNNNNNNNNNNNNNNNNNNNNNNNNNNNNNNNNNNNNNNNNNNNNNNNNNCCCCAAAAAAAUAGGAUAAAACUAAGGAAAAAAAUAAGGUUAAACUAUCCUAUUCUAACCAUACUCAGGAACCUAAGCACCAUACUGUAUAUAACUGGCCAUUAUAUUAAUAAAAGCAUAAGAAAGAUGUAUAUAUUUGUAUACAAGAUCAAAGAAUGGAUAUACAAUAUGAAUAAAUGAAAGAGGGGAGGGAUAUAUGAUAAUACCAUAAUUACUUUAGAUAGAUACAAACACCUGAUCAAGGCUAACUUAAAGUUACAAUCUAAGUAAUCACACUAGCAUCUGAAGGCCUCCUAAUCAAAGUAGGAACUAGUGUUAAAAUAACUAGGACCUAAAACCAUAAUACCUAAACUUGGGAUGAUUAUGAAAAACAAAAUAACCGUAAGAUAAAGAAAUCAGAAUCAUACCUCAAAUCUCAAUACCAGUCCAAUAAUCAAUCUAUCACGAACUAACUAUAAUAACAAUAACAAUAUAAAGUAACCAGCUAGUCUGGACAACUAAUAUCUAAUCGAACCUUUUAUAAACCACCACUGACAUAGGCUCGAUGGCUCGCAAAGGCAGGAUCUACGAAGACCUCUCUUCUCUGUUACAAUGACUCAUGGACGAAGUGGCCCCUAGGGGGUUUGGAAGUACUCAUAUACACCGACUUGGUCCUGAUCCAAGAUUUUCAAUAACCAUCAUCAUCAUUAGUUUACUUUUCUAGUACCAUAUAUAUAUACAUACAUACAUACAUAUAAAAUACACGAACUAUAACCCUGGCUAAAUCAUCAUAAAAAUGUCAAAAGCAUCAAAAUCUAUCUCAAUUGAGGUAAAUAGUAAUAGCAAAAUCGUGGAUCGAAAUAUGUCUUGAUCAAAUCUCUAAAACAUCAUUUCUCAAAGGCUCAUAAUUUAUUCAUUAAAAUGGUAUGAUUCUCGUUAAGAAGAAACCCAUUUUAAAAGUGAAAAGUGGGAACAAAUUCCUUUUUAGAAAAAGAGUAGUAAAAUUAUAUUUCAGUUGAAAUCGUACCAUUUACUAUCUAAGUGAUCAUGUAUGUACCAAAUCUAUGCAUGCCAUCAUCAGUAUCCAAACAAUACAAUUAUAAGCACCAAUCUGUAUAUAAACUACAACCACUUUCUUUACAAGGAUAAAACACUUCUCAAAAUCCAACCAAUAUCAUUAACAUGGUUUUGGGCCCAAUAAUAUAUAUAUCCGACAUAAACAUACCAUCAUAAUCAAAUGUGUAACAUAUUUAAACCUUAUACUAAAGGGUUAUUAGCCUCAAUUAUUCCUACCAUGUUAACAACCUAGGUUAAUAGGAUCCUAGAAGCAUAAUAUGUAUUUCACCUUAUGGGUCGAUCCACCCUCCUAAUUCCCGAACUCAUAAAUUAGGAUAAGUCAGGUUGUUUUACCCAAAUCACAUCCUAACAUCCCUAUAUAACAUGCAAAAUAUAUAAUACACUAUCUCAUGAAAAAGAGUAGACAAAAGCCUAUCUUGAUGACAAACCACAAUUUCUUGAAUAGCCCAUAAAUCGUUUGUCUUUGCUACACGAUCUCCAAUUUUGUCAUGCUAUCAAAAUAGUAAUCUAUAGAUCUUCGAGAGUAAAAUAUGACCCAUAUUUCUGUAUUAUUAGUCUAGUCAAAUUUCGGGUUAAGAACGAGCCUGUGGGACCUACAAAUGAAAUCCAAAAUUGAACCCAUCAUGAGGUUCCUCGAAGGACAAUAAAUUUGUGCUUAAAAGUUCAUCACAAGUGGAGCACAAAUUAGGUCUCAAAUCAACCCUCAAAAUUAGCAAUUUAAGACCUAAUUUCUAAGAAUUUUACUAUAAAUUAGGAUGCAAAUUCAAUGGGAAAUGAUCAAGAAGAUUUAGGUUCGCUUGCCUUAACUUAUGUGUCUUUGAGCCCUCAACUUAGUGUAAAACUGGUGGAAUAAUUGAUAGAAAAUUGUGAGAGGAAAAGGGCAUUUAAAUCCACUAGGUUUCGCUUAAGCAAUCACCCUAUUGCUUAAGCGAGGCCCUGGCAUUGCUUAAGCAAGGCCUUGGCAUUGCUUAAGCGAUUUGGAAAGCCUGGUUGGGUAUCACUUAAGUGACUCCUAGGCCGCUUAACAUAUGCCCGCUUAAGUGGAAAAGGCAUCGCUUAAGCAGUCAUUGGCCAGAUGGUCAAUGUCAUUGACUAUUUUAAAUUGUAUAAAAUUUUUGUUGCUCGUACUCUGUCAAAUUUUACUAUAGUUUAAGAUAUCGUCCCACAGAGAUUGAAAAAUCUAUGCUACAAAUUUGUAUUAUCUUGAUUACUAUUUGAGAAUCAAAUUGAUAAAAGGAGAGUAACUUCUAAAGCUUUUUUAAAAAAAUAUGUAAAGAAAUAGUGUUUAAAGAUUAUCUUGAAGAGGAAGUUGAUGGUUGUUGAAUUCACUUGGUAUGUUUAUUAUAAUAAAAUUAUUAUUUUAUUGAUUUCUAUAAAAUUGUAGAAUAACUUUCUAGACUUGAUUUAUGUGUUCAUGAGGAAUAAAGACCCCUUGCGAGUAAUCUUUAAAUCAAUAAACAUACUUGAGACAAUCUCUCCGCGAGGAUACAGAUUGAAAGAAAUAAGAUAAAGAUCCCUCAAAUCAACAAUCUUAUUUGAGUCAAUCCCUCCGCGAGGAUACGAAUCGAAACAAAUAAGAUAGAGAUUAUUUAAAUUUAAGAAAUAGUUCAAAGUAAUCCUUCCGUGAGGAUAAAGAUCAAAAGAAGCAAUUUCAAAGAUUUGAAAUAACAAGUGACUAAAAAUUAUUAUUACUUAUAUUUUAUGAAAUACUUAUAGUAUAUUUAAUUUUCUUCCUUGUGGGAAGCACAACUUAAUAUAACUAUAACUAUAAUAUAAAAUAUCAAGUAACACUAAUUUCUAGUAUAAGAAUCUCAACACGAAGUAUUUACCUUUUAAAUAAAAUCAAGUCUUGAAAGAACUAAAACAAGAUUUAUAUUAUAAUAUUAUACCAAGUUUCUUCAAGUCUCCCAACACAAAGAAGUUACUCCAUUAUGGAGAAAUUAAUAAAAAAAAGAAAAAAAAUAUUAUUCUACAAAAGAAAAAGAAAGAAAGAAAAAGUAAACAAGACUAAUUCUUAUAUAUUGUUUAUGUUGUUGGAUACUUAAUGAUCAAAGAAAUGCCUUUAUUUAUAGAAAAUNNNNNNNNNNNNNNNNNNNNNNNNNNNNNNNNNNNNNNNNNNNNNNNNNNNNNNNNNNNNNNNNNNNNNUUCACUUGUUUCAUUCUUUCACUUGACGGGUGUGAGAAUCUUUUGAAGUGGUGGUUGUGACGGUCAUCUUAUAACUCUUCUCAAAACGUUCACUUGUUUCAUUCUUUCACUUGACGGGUGUGAGAAAUUUUUGAGGUUACACCCGUGGAUUUUUUUUUAUUUCUUUAUUUCUUCUUUUGUAUUCUACUUCCUGUAGAAUUUGUCAGAGAAUAUACAAUAAUAUAAUAUAUUUAUUUAUAUUUAUUUAAAAUAAUUAAUAUUUAAUAUAUAAAAAUAUAUAAAUAAAUAUAUCCAUCAAAUACCCCCACACUUGAAUCUUUGUUUGUUCCCGAGCAAAGGACAAAAUAAAACAACAAUUAAAAUUUUAAGUAAUAAAAUUAUUAGAUAAAAUAAAGUUUAAUAAAGACUACAUCAUGAGUUCAAAUGAAUUUAGUCGCACUCAUAUUCACCUAUUGAGAAUCAAAAUUAUAAUAUUUUUUUUUCCAGUGUAUCUCACCAAAUGAAGAGAGAUGCCCAUAAAUCACACAAUAAGAUAGAGAUUAUUUAAAUCUAAGAAAUAGUUCAAAGUAAUCCUUCCACGAGGAUAAGGAUCAAAAGAAGCAAUUUCAAAGAUUUGAAAUAACAAGUGACUAAAAAUUAUUAUUACUUAUAUUUNNNNNNNNNNNNNNNNNNNNNNNNNNNNNNNNNNNNNNNNNNNNNNNNNNNNNNNNNNNNNNNNNNNNNNNNNNNNNNNNNNNNNNNNNNNNNNNNNNNNNNNNNNNNNNNNNNNNNNNNNNNNNNNNNNNNNNNNNNNNNNNNNNNNNNNNNNNNNNNNNNNNNNNNNNNNNNNNNNNNNNNNNNNNNNNNNNNNNNNNNNNNNNNNNNNNNNNNNNNNNNNNNNNNNNNNNNNNNNNNNNNNNNNNNNNNNNNNNNNNNNNNNNNNNNNNNNNNNNNNNNNNNNNNNNNNNNNNNNNNNNNNNNNNNNNNNNNNNNNNNNNNNNNNNNNNNNNNNNNNNNNNNNNNNNNNNNNNNNNNNNNNNNNNNNNNNNNNNNNNNNNNNNNNAUUACUCCAUUAUGGAGAAAUUAAUAAAAAAAAGAAAAAAAAUAUUAUUCUACAAAAGAAAAAGAAAGAAAAAAAAAGUAAACAAGACUAAUUCUUAUAUAUUGUUUAUGUUGUUGGAUACUUAAUGAUCAAAGAAAUGCCUCUAUUUAUAGAAAAUCAUAAUGUUGAACCAACGAAUGCAUUCUUUAAAAUGGUGGUUGUGACGGUCAACUUAUAACUCUUCUCAAAACAUUCACUUGUUUCAUUCUUUCACUUGACGGGUGUGAGAAGCUUUUGAAGUGGUGGUUAUGACGGUCAACUUAUAACUCUUCUCAAAACGUUCACUUGUUUCAUUCUUUCACUUGACAGGUGUGAGAAUCUUUUGAGGUUACACCCGUGAAAUUUUUUUAUUUUUUUAUUUCUUCUUUUGUAUUCUUCUUCCUGUAGAAUUUGUCAGGAAAUAUACAAUAAUAUAAUAUAUUUAUUUAAAAUAAUUAAUAUUUAAUAUAUAAAAAUAUAUAAAUAAAUAUAUACAUCAGUCAUAUACACGAUGACCACUUAAGCAGUCAUAUGAUUGCUUACGCGGUCGUAUCAGUAUCCUGAUGCACCAGAUUUUGCUAAGUCUAUAAUGGACUUCGAUUGGGUGCUUGGGAUUCAUUUGGAACCCUAUGCGUGCAAAUAAAAUAUACUAUCGUACCAAAUUCGAUGUUUCGGACUCGAUGAAACCAUUAAAAUUUUCAUUCGAGAUCAUUUCGACCAAGUGUGGUGCCCACACCUAUAAGUCCAAUUUUUUUUUACAUAAUUCGCCCAAUAGCCCAAGAUGAGUUUGAAAGCCUCGUAGACCUGAAUCAAGGGUCUCCUUAACCUAAAAUCAACGUUCCGAAUCUGAUGAUGCUAUCAAAAUUCUCAUCCGAGGUCAUUUACUAGUAGUUUUGGCCUGAGACAAAAUUCUAAAAAGUGAAAGCUCUAAAAUAAGUAAAUGAGCCUAUAAUCCAAACAAAUUAUUCGAUAAUCGAAUGGAUAGUUCCAACAAGUCAUCAAUGACCAGUAGCCUCUGUGGGAAUGCUCGAACCAUUGUAAAUGCAUGAAAAUCGAGGAAAUAACCUAGAGAGUCAUUACAAUAUCAACUACUAAAAGGACUUUCAUCUGUAAAUGUUAAUAGAUAGAAAGAUCACAAAAGCUCGAAGGGAUGAAAGACUGGGCUCGUAUGUUUCAAGCAUGAAUUCCCAAAUAACCUCAAAGAAAAAAUGAUGCAUCCAAGGAAUUUUUUCACAGGUAUCCCUUUUCCAACCAACUUCCAUACUUCUCUAAAAUAACGAAAACUUAAGCUCAACCACCAACUGAAUUAAGGAAGGCUGAAGCACGCGAAUUCAAAUAAUGACACAUUGAUACCACAUUGAUACCAACACAAUCUGACAAAAACUCAUCCAAGAUAAUGGAAAACCAAGGCAUGAGUAAUGCAACCAACUCCGAAUCCAAAUAUAACCUUCUGUUGCCUUUCCAAAGCUGCUAUCCACUCAAAACUAAGCAGAAAGUCACUCGAGUCCUGCUCGUUCAACUCCAUCACACUAACCUUAAAGAACUAAAGAUGGUCCAAUGAAAAUCCAAAAUUUUUGACAAAAAUUAAAAAUUAAGGUUAAGGCUAAAGAAACCAAAAUCGUUCCAAUGGACCACCAUCUGAACAUCGAUCAACCACAAACUACAUUAACUGAAGAAGACCGAGUAGGUAGACAAGGAGUAGGCUUAGACAACCUAUAGAUGAAAUCCCAACUAAGGCAAAUCUAAAAACAAAGGCUACACCCAAACUCUACAACUUUCUACUGAAAAUCUCAACACCAAGGCUAAAGCGCUUAAUAUCUACUACCUAAACUAAGCCUAAAGAUAGGUAAGCGUUCACACUUCAAAUCAAUCAUAACCUCUAAAUCACCAUUUAAGAGCGUCAAAUUCAAAAUUGAUCCACUUAUAUUUCCCAAACUAUACCCUUUAAAAAGAUAUAAUACGAUUGCUGUCAAAUUAUGGUAACCCAACUAGGUUAGGGUGUUCCCAUAAAGAAUAGGUCGAAUCUGUCUCUUAAACUUGUUGAAGUAGUCGGAAGUGCAGAAAAGUAAAUGGGGGGAUUUUGUAGUAAACAGUAAAAAGUAACAGGUCGUGAAUGCCUUUGAUAUUUUAAUAAUUUGAGAUGAACACUAGGACUAUGUUCCCAUGGCUUCAUAGCUCCGUAGGUUUAUCAUGAUCAAUUCGACUAUCUCACUGCCACAUAUGUAGAAUCUAAUAUGCUAGGAUAAAUCUCACCUUUUACCUUGUGAGUCUUAGAGUGUCACCUUAUUAACCCUUGUUUUUUAUCCCAGUUUAACUAUUAACUUUUGGGUAUCAAGUUAUUAGAUGAGGGUUCAUAGCCUCGAAUUAUUGUUGUAACCUUCUUUUUGUCAAUCUCAAUCUCUCUUGUGAAGACUAUAUUGAAUACAAGUAUUUUCUCAACAUUGUCCAUUGUUAAUAAAAUAAUUAAACUGAAGAAGAUCACAAUGCAAGUGUAAAAAAUAAUCUAGAAGAACCUCACCUUCCCUUACUUUGUUAUUCCGUAGGUUCCCAUAACCCAAGCUAAGGGAUUUAACUGCUAAUAGUUACAAGAAACACCAUGGAAUUAAUAAAGAAAACAUAGAGGUAAUCUCACAACAAUAGAAGAAUAAAACCCAAAGUCUCAAAUUAAUUAAUCAACCCAAAACAAAGAACACAAGAAUUCGAAGAUAAAAGUCAAUCUUGAAAUCAAUAUUUGCUUGUGAAUAAUACGAGUGUAUAAAAGUUCAUAAACUAAAGUUCAUAAACUAACUCAAUAACAUCAUAAGAUUAUUCUUAGAUUACAUAACAACCCUGGAAAUCUAAACCAAAACAUUCAGGAAAAACUAAUUCGGUGGCCACUUAUGGGCCGUAAAUGGCACCUACGCCACAUAGGUGGCUAUCGUAGGUGACAUGCUUCUCAAAUCUUCAGUAAUUUCUCAUGCACUGGUACCUACGAGGCAUAAAUGGUACCUUCAUCCCAUAGGUUACUUCCUCAUAAGUACUAAAGGAUCCUUAAUCCUCAGCUUCUCUGAUCUUCAAUGUUUUACAACUUACGUGACUUAGGUGCUCCAUCGUAAGUGGCACUUACGUGCUAUAUAUGCUCAUUCGUCAGUGUCAGAUCAAGACUUCACUUUUAUGUUUUCUGAAUUUAGUUCUUCUGAGACCUAUGAAAUCUACCUACGCCAUAUGAGUUUCCUCAUAAGUAAGCUUUUCUGCUAUCUUGACUCUUUUUCUUCAUGUUAAGCUUCAAAACCUAGUUCCCUACAAAAUAGACACAAAGCCCAUCAUAUCUACCAAAACAAACCUAAGUACUUGCAUAUUUUUUGGUUUUAAGCAUCGAAAGUACCAUGAAACCAUGACACAUCAACACCCUCAACUUAGAAUAUUUUCAUAUCCCCUACGUCAAAAACACAACAAAACAUAACAACGAUGCUUAACUAAGAAACACCUAAGAUACUUAUAGCAGUCAAUCUCAAAUUCAACUAAAAAAUAUCACCCCUUAUAUUUUUAAUCUUUUCAAACCCAACUGUGUGAAUCAAUGCAACCCAAUAAUGUAACAUAAGGGAAUCAAUCUAUGGCAUUAAUCAACCACACAUAAUCAAGCAUAUAUACAAAUUUCACUACCCAAAUAGAUAAGCAGCUAGUAACACAACCAGUGUACCCUCAUAAUAAAGAAGUCCCACUCACUUAGGAGAAUAAUGCAUGUUAAUGCAGGGACAAUCACGAGACACUCACACAGUCACAAAGAAGUUUCAUCAAUGUCACAGAAUACCAUAGGCUUACCCUUAUUUUCUUUAGCUUAGGUUUUGGACAGCCGGACUAGGAUCACUAUAGGACUUUACUCGGCUUGUAACAUAGGCUUGGGGGAUGGUAUGGUACAUUUAGUGACUAAGUUUCCUUAGCACUAAAUUAUGUUAGGGGUCCACUUAUUAACUAAUUUUUCUUUUAUUCCGCCCUUAUUUCUCCUUUUUCCCUUUAUUGCUUAUUUAGGCUGGGUGCGGUCUCUUUUAUUCUUUUUUUUUCUUUUUCAAAUCCAUAUUUUUUUCUUUUUUUUCUUUUUCUACCAUACCCAACCCAAAUUUCUUCUCUCUUAUUUACACCCUUUUUUCUAAUCACACACCCCUAUGAUAGCCACUCUCAACUUAGACAAUUUACCUGAGUUGAGGUGCACAGUGUCCAAGGAGGACCAAGGCCAAAAUAGGUUCAUUGUAACUAAAAUGAGAAGGUGAAUAGUAAGAACAUGAAAAAUAGUCUAUCUAGGCUUAAACAAGGAUAAAGGGAUACUUAUUCACGUUUGGAAGGUCGUUUAGAAUAAAAGUGGACUAAUUCAAGAACAACCUAUGAUCAUUUACUAAUCGACUAUCCUAUAACCUAGGCAAGACUAAUCAGGCAAGUUCUAGAUUCAACACACAAUGGGAAUUAAGUAAGCAUCUCACACACAUAUGGAGCAGGGUUGCCUUAUAAACUACUACCUAGGAAAAUGCUAGCUAUGAUUAUUAGGUCCCUAAUCCUAAUGCUAUAACAAAAUUCAUAGCAGUCACAUACAUAAGCACAUCACACAGUUCAAAACAAAUUAGUUUUUUGGAGGGGUAUUAUUUUUUCUCACAUAUUUAAGCCCAAUUAAAAAAAAAUAAAUCAACUGCCCUUAGGUACUUAUUUUUAUCCUUGUUAAACAAAAACAACACAAAACAAUACAGAAAAACACAAUACGUCCUAGAUAUGCCGGCUUUACUAAGGAUAGAUUCUAGGGAAAAGAGACACGACAAAAAAAAUCCCUAAGAGGACAUCUCGACCACAAGUAGACCCACCCACAUUGAAUAUACAUGCAUUGUCCCCAAUGCAUUAAGCCACUGCAAAGUAAGAGGGUUAGGAGCAUACCUGUAAUACCUUAGGUGCACAGAUUUGACAUCAAUCACACUAACAUGCAUUAAUACAAAUGCAAAAAUAACAAAAAUACCUUGGGUUGCCUCCCAAGUAGCACUUGAUUUAACAUCACGGCAUAACGCGGGUACCUUGAUUACUCAAAAUUUAUCAAGGUAUCCAAAGGGUUAGCCUCUAGGGUCAUCAUCAUAACUUAUCACCAAAACCACCCCCAUGUCAGUCAGUUGCUUCAUGGUUUUGCGAACAUUAAAUAUGACCUCCUCAUCAUUCAUCCUGAACUUAAGCUCCCCUUUCUCCGUGUCCACCAAUGCUCUACUUAUGGCAAAAAAUAGUCUUCCCAAAAUUAUAGGCAUCUCAAAAUCAACUUCACAAUCCAAGACAACAAAGUCGCCCAAAAAGAUAAAGUUGUCCACCUUUACCAAACAUUAAAUGAUAUACCUACAGGCUUCUUCACUGUACAAUUUGCCAUCAACAAAUACAUUUUUAUUAGUUUAGGAGGUCUCAAGCCCAAAUGUUUGAACACUUCCACUGGCAUCAAGUUAAUGCUGACACCCUAGUCACACAGGGCUCUAACAAAUCUAGGUGUCCCAAUGGUGCACAAAACCAUGAAAGCUUUGGGAUCAUCUUUCUUUUUUGCUAGAGAUCACGAUGUAAUCUCACAACAAUGAUGCAACCCACCAAGUCCUCAUAACUGACAACUUUUUUCUUUGUCACCAAAUUCUUUAGAAAUUUUGAGUACCCAAGAAUCUGCUCGAGAGCUUCAAGAAAAGGUAUAUUCAAACUCAACUCUUUCAGCAUAUGAAUAAAAUUUUUAUAUUUCUUUUUUUUGUCUUUUGCUUCAAUCUUUGCAGAAAGAUGGGGGAGGUCGUGGAAUGGUUUUCACUACAGGCUUGACUUUAUUUCCCUUUUCUUUAUCCUUUUCAACAUUCUUAUCAACACCCAUCAUUUUUUAUGAUAACUCACCACUAGUCACCAACUUUUUAUAUUCCACUUCGGGUGUCACAUCAAUAUCAACCACAUUAUUCUUUGGAUCAUCAACCACAUAUAUAGGGGGAUCAAUAGUAGCUUUACCACUUUGAGUGGUGAUGGAUAGACAAUAACCAUCUUUCUUUGGAUUUAGCACAGUGUUGCUCGAAAGAGUACCCGGUUGAUGCUGAUUCAAUGUGGAUGACAUUUGCCCAAACUAAUGCUUGAGCUGUUUGAUCGCAGUAGCGUGCGGUUCUAUAUUUUGGCUGAGUCCCAAAAUUCUGCCAUAAUCUCCUUAAGGCAAUUUUGUUGACUUUUUUGACCUUUACUAACUUUGACAAUAUAGCCUCUAUUCUAGAAUCAGUAUCUCUAUUCUCUAUCAAAACGUAAACCCCACUCUUCUCCUUGUAGUCAUCCUUACACCUCAAGUCAUCAUCUUUUUCUCUACUCCUAUCCCUAUGUAUAUCCCCAUAGUAGUUUCGACCUUGGUUCCUUUGCCUCGAGUUCUAAUUAUCUUGACCAGAUGAUUGACCCUUGGCUUGAAAACCCACUAACUCUCCAUCCAGAUACUUUGCUUUUUCAUCCACAUCAGAAUCAUAUAACCUAAAAACUUUACCUUGUACGCCCACAACAUUCACUAUUUCAGAAUUCAUAGUUGCAAACUACUUUGUCAGUAACCUAAUCUCCAUCCUCAGUUGUGCAACCUCUUGAGCCACUGAAUUAUCUAUGAAUCUAUGCUCACCGGAAUCACCAUUGGCAUAAGUGCCAACACCUCUUUUUUCCUUCGAGUAUGGCACCCUUAGUUGGUAAGAGAGAUCUAAUAUAAGAAAUUUGAUGCUUCUUCCCAAUUCAGGUUCAUGAAUGCUCCAUCAGUAAUACUAUCCACCAUAGCUUUGGAACUAGUAUUCAGGGCAUGAUAGAAAAUCUCAGGAGAUUUCUUCCCAAAAUUUGGUGAUUAGGUAACAUUAUCAACUUUUUCUUAAAUCUAAAUCAUGCCUCAUAUAUUGGUUCAAAAUACAUUUGCCUGAAGUUAUAAAUCUCAUCCUUCAAUUGUAGAAUUCUAUCCAGAGAAAAGAAACGGUAUAAAAACUACUUCUGUAACUCAUUCCAGGUAGUAAUGGACCCACGAGGUAGUUCCCCUAACCAUAAUGUAGCUUCACCAGUUAGAGAGAAUGGGAACAAUUUGAGUCUCAACACUUCCUGAUAUGCCUAAGGUUUAACACCCCGAAUCUGGUACUUGAAAUGCUACAUGGUGCUCAUGACCUCGAAGGACCAUAAGCUAACUCAUGACUGAUAUCUGUACCUGAACAUUGGAUAAUGUACGUAUAUAAAUGCGGAAACAAAGCUGUAAGGCCAUAAGGUUCAAAUCUGAAACAUAAAAUCUGAUAAAAUAAUGUUUAAAUGGGGUGUAAAAUUAUCCAAAGCUAAAAUAAACUAUCUGAACAUACUAUAGUCUAAAAGCCUCUAAACUGUCUGAAUAAUGAGUUGAUGGGACAUAUCCUCAACUCACUCCAACUACUGAAAUGAACUAGGUACUAAAAUGAUAAAGUAAUAAUCAUGUCCUCAAAGGAUGAGGACUCACUGCUAACUCUGACUACUAGAUACUGGAAUGCUACUGAUGUUCUGGUGCUCAAGCUUCUGAACCUAUGGUGUAAAGUAAAACACCAUAGCGCAAAUGUGUUAGUACGAUUAAAUGUACUGGAAUGCAUGUGAGGUAGGCUGAAUGCAACGGUUCAUAUGCAUGAACAAUAAUAAAUGACUGUAUAACAUGAAUAUAAGAAUACAUGCAUGAAUAAGUAACUAUAACUGAGACCAUACUGACAUUGGGUACUGAGUUCUGAGUACUGAUUUACUAACAUCUGGGUUUAUUGAUACUGAUAAAUGAGUCUACUAAAUACUGGGAAAACUGAUGGUAUAUUACUGAUAGAGGAAUGCUUGUUUCUAACAGUUUUGAUUAUGAAGAAUUGGUCUGAUUGACUGUCUCAAUCCUGAAACUGAUUAUUAGUAACAUGAGUUACUUAUAACUGACACUAUUGAUAUAACUGAGAUAAAUGGUAUAACUGAUAUAAAUGAUACUGAGCGACUAUAUCUUACAGUCUAUGUUCUGAUGGAACUAGCUGAGUUUCAUACUGUUUUGAGAUGACUGUAUCUGAUAGUCCUGAAUUCUGUAGAACUAUCUGAGUUCUAUUACUGAGAUUGAAUAACUGUAUUUGGUAGUCCUGAUUCUGUAACUAAAACUGUGGGAAGUAGUUAUCUAACCGACAUGCCCAAAAUAAUCACAAUAUAGCUGAGUUGGGGUCCAAUCAAUAACCCUAAUUGGAAAGGUGUCAAUACCGCGCCACUGAUAAGGACAAUCUGUGAGUAACCCUCAUAUAAUAGGUAACUCUAGUGAGAAUGGUCGAAACCCUUAUAUAAUAGGUUAAGCCACCUCAUCUACCCUCAUAUAACAGGCUAUGAUGUCUCAACUUAUGCUGGCUACGUAGUUCAGGAACACAAGGAUUGCUUCUAAGAAUCACACCCUCAUAUAAUAGGUGAGUUCCUAUCCUUGAGUUCGCUCGGUGAUAAUUCCUACUCCCAUCUGAAUAGACACUAAACAUAAUUAAAUGAACUAAACUAGACUGAUUUUAUGGAGUUCUAUUGACUGAUGAAAUACUACUGAGAUUUUUGAAUUUACUGAGAUUUCCUGAGUCACAUAGCUGACUGAGUUCUAUGGAUCAUUGCUUGAUUGAGGAUAUCGUGAAACAUGACACUGGCUCUAGGUACACAACUAUAUUUUUUGGGUACAAUUACCCCCAGGACUAGAUAGAAGGAAACUGACAAAGCAUGACUUUCUUGAAUACAUGCCCAACAUCAACAAUUCAUAUACAAUAUUAGAGGAUAUUUCAUGAAGCAUAUGGUUAUCAUAAUCUUGUAUAUAACUUAGAAUGCACAUGAUCAUGUCUUAACUUUAUUAUUUUAAAAUCAUGAUUAUAUCAUCACGCAAUUGCAUUACACAACAAUCCUCAUGGAAAUUAUUUUAAACAUAGGGGAACACAUACACUCAUAACUUGGGUCAUAGUCUAACUGUCAAGCAUAAUUUCUAUUCUCCUAGGCAUUUUAUCAAACACUUAGGUUGUAUGAUUGAAGACUUAGGCAUGAGCAUGAAUUUAAUACAACCUUACUUCGCAAUUCAACCCAAUUUCAUGAUUUUAGUCCACAUAUUAGCAUAAUUUCAUUAAGACAUAAUAAAGGUUCCAUCUUGGAAUUCAUACAAUAACAACACAUGAACAUAAUUCAAUUCAAAGAAUGAAUAUCACAAUUCGUAAUUUAAAACUUAAUUCUUGGGCUUCAUGGACUAAAGGAGUCCAUGAAUGAACAUGAUGCAUACCUUAGAUGAAAGAGUCUUGAUGAUUCACGGAGAAAUUUGCUUGAACUUGGAUCCCCAAUUUAAAACCCUAAUGUGUUCUUGAGAGGAUUUUGAAAGAAUAGGGUGUAUUUUGGUGUAAACGAGGCUUAAUCUGGUGUUUAAGACUUAUAUAGGGUUGGGAAAUUACCUCUUUCCCCUUAAAAAUGCAGACAUUUAAUGACUAAAUGAUUGAGCACCAACCCAGUGAGUGAUGCGGUGCGUCGGGAUGCGAUGCUAUACCCAACUCGGUGCGCCAUGAACACAUCGAGCCUCAGUUGUUUUGGCUCUAGAAGUCUACACAACUGGUGACCAAUGCGAUUGGUGAUGCGGUGCACCAAGAUCGCGUUGGUCCACUAUUUUGGACUUCCAAUCUUGUCUAAACGAGUUUCUAAAAAAUCCAAAACUUGUCCAGGAACACCUAUUCACCUUCUUGAUCAUGAUCAAUAAAAAUACGAACCAUUAAAUGAUAUUAAGGUGGCAAAAUAAAUUUUCCAACUUUUGAAGGACAAAAUUAAGCUAAGUCUGAAAUGUAGCUAAAAUUUCUAAGUCUAGAACCCCCUUGACACGCUUAAAAGACUGUAUUAAGCUUUAGAAUUUUAUGGGGUCUUAUAAUAUCUCCCCUUUGAGAAUAUUCUUCCUCGAAUGAGACUGAAUGAGAGGGGAGAAAUGAUAAACUAAAACACAUACUGAGCAUGAACGAUUGGAACAUGAUUUCAUGACUGACUUGACUGAUAUUUGAAUAUAUCAUACUGAACAUGCAUAUCUAAUGCAUGUGUAACUGUUUCAUGAAUGCUUGACUAAGUGUUCUAAUAAGCUGGGUUUUCUCAUAAUGAGAAUGCAUAUCUGAUGCAUAAAUACAUAACUGACAUGAUACAUGAUUGAUUAUGCAAUGAUACUUAAGACCAAGUUUAUAACAGAAUUCUGAGCAUGAAACUGAAUACCAAGUUGGUAAUGAAAUUGAACAUGUAAACUGGGUAAGCUUAAGGAAAGCUUUUAUCUUGGACUGAGUUUGAAUUAGCAGAGAAGAGGUGAGGAUACUUGGUACACAUGUCUGCUUUUUCUUCCCAAGUAGUUCCCUCAACAGACUAAUUCCACCAAAGAACUUUGACUAGAGGGACUUCUUUGUUCCUUAGUUUGUUAAUCUGGUAGUCUAGGAUUUUGACUGUGAUUUUCCUCAUGAGAGAGAUUGUUCUGAACAUCUACACUCUGAAUAGGGACUACAACUUUUAGGUUACCUAUACACUUCUAGAGUAAAGAGACAUGGAAAACUGGAUGAACUGAGGCUAGAUCUGAAGGCAACUCGAGCUUAUGAGCUAUCUUGCCAUAACAACUAAGAAUUUUUGAAGGGACCAAAAUAUAAAGGACUGAGCUUUCCCUUCUUGCCGAACCGCUUCACUCUCUUCAUGGGAGAGAUCCCUCGAUACACAUAGUCACCAAUAUUGAACAUGCAUAAAUAGGAACAUGAGAACAUAGUUGAGUCCGUAAUGGAUGUCAUGAACUAAGUCUGGAAUGUAAUGCAUGAACUGAAUACUGUGAACUGAAUAUCAUAAAUUGAAUCAAGCCUCCAAAUACAUGGAUCAUGGCUAAGAUUAGAACUUAAGGGUUAACUUAUGAGUAUCCCCUACUCCAAACUGGAUUCAUUACAUAAAGAGAGAAUAUGAUGCUCAUGUUAUGAAAGUUUGGGGGAUUAUAGUGUAUCUCCCCCUUGGGACACUAUGUUCCUCAAAGAAUACUGACUUGUAUGAGCUGCUGGGGAAGCUAAAGCGAUGCACAAGGCACCUACGAACUGAGUCUUAACUGAAUAACUGGGAUCUAAAAUUGAAACAUGAUACAUGAACUAAGAUGAGUUUGCGUCUAUCUAGUUGUUCACCUUAGAAUGGUUAUAUCCAUGAGACUUUGAAUAGUACAUCUAGAUGGAAAGGACAGGAACCCAAACCAUGCAAACUUAUUCGUCUGAUUGCUAAACUAAAUUACUGGUUUAAUGGACUAACUCAUGCUGAAAGAUUAUAGUCGACUGGAGCCUUUUCUCUAGCACUCUUUCAAUAGAGUUCUAGUGGCUUUAGGGAACAUGGAAAUCUAGGCCUUGUCUAAAUAAGAUAGCUGAAUGAGAAAGUCAUUACAUGGCUAAAGUUUGGUAAGAUGAGUUCAGGCCUAUGAACACCAUUUAAGAUGAAAUGACUAAGCCUCUUGCACUGCAACUAAGAUUACUAAAAAGAUUCACAUGGGUGCUGAACACGAGUGCAUAAAUGUACUACUAAUCUGAUUAACUGGAUAGAAGAUAGUUGAAUACUGGACGUGUAAGAUUGAACUGUACUUGGUCUGAAUGGCUGAACUGAGACUAUAGAGUAUUAUACACAAAAGUUAAUGGCUGAAUGGGUAUCAUAAGGUAACUGAGCAGGAAUUUCAUGAAAGUUGUAUUAAUUACGCAUGCAAGACCGAGUGUACGACAUGAUUUGGAAGUAUUUAAUAGACUGAGGUACUAAAAUACUAAUAACUGAGUAUCUGACAACUGUACACUAUGGUCAAGAAAGCUUGGAACUGAACUGAGUUUCUGAUCUAAUUACUGAACUAAAGCGGACACUAUAACUAAGAUUCCUACUGGAACUAAAUGCCGGGUUCUGAUAAUUGAACAUUGAUAACUGUGGUUUAGACUGAUACUAAAGUACUUAAUUCUAAGACUGAACACUAAUUUCUAAGAACUGAAUGCUAAAACAGAGUAAUACCCUAAAGUUUCUUACCUAAUUUCAUCCUAAAAAUGUUAAGUAUUAGCUUCUAAAUUGAAUGAUGUAUAUUACAUGAGGAAUUUUUAAGAUUUUCACUUUUUUUUUUCAUGUGGGAAAUUCAAUAAGCUUUCCAUUGAUAUAAAAUUUACCUGAAUCUGAUAACCAAGUAAGAAGUUAUGAUUAUUUCAAGUCCCCAUCGUAAAACAGCACCAUAUUGGUCAGUGGCACGCCGCGCCACAAGAUAAAAUGGCAAUUAUCCUUUUUCCAGGGUCCCAGGGAGAUUUUUUCGUGUCGUGCCAGGGGUCCAGCGUGAGAAAUUUUCACCAAUUUUAAAAGACGCAUCCAGGGUUUAAAAGGUAAAUUUACCACCCCUGUUUAAACCCAAUAACACAUGAUUUAGCCAUUCUUCACCCAAAAUAUACUAGUUUCUCUCAAUUUUCUCUCAAGAACAAACUAGGGUUUCAAUUGGAGAUUCAAUUUCAAGAAAUCUCUCCAUUAAUCUUUGCUAAAUCUAGAACUAAGGUAUGGUUGUGUUGAUUUAUGGAUUUCUUUCAUCCAUAAAGCUCAAUAACCCUAUUUUAAAUUAUGAAUCAUGAUUAAUAUGUUGUGGGUUGCUCAAGUUAUGUGAUGGUUGUUGUUUGACUCCCAUGUCGGGAUCCUUAUGUAAAAUUAUGAAAACUACGUUACCAUAUAAAUUGAAAUCCAUGAAUUUGGUGGUUUAUGAUUUGAGAAAUUUGAUGAUUUCACCUAUGACUUAAGUUUUGCAUGUAAUGUAUUUGAUAAAAUGCCUAAAAGAAUAGAAAUUUGCACUAUAGCUAAAUUGUGACCCAAAUGACGAUGUAUGCUUUAACCUUAUGUUCAAAAUGACUUCCAUGUUAUUCUUAUGUAUUGAAAUUGCUUGUGGGAUUGUUCAUGAGUUAGCCUUAUGAAAUUAUGCUAUGUAUACAUGCUAUCUUAUUCACGUAUCAAGCUAUGAUAAUCAAAUGCCCAUGAAAUAUCUCCAACUAUUGUAUUAUGGAUUGUUGAUGUUGGUCAUGUAUUCAAUAAUGUCAUGCCUUAUUAGUUUACUUCCAUUGAGUCUUGGGGGUACUUGUACCCAAAAAAUAUAGCUGUGUGCCUAUAUUUAGUGUCAUGUUUUCAAGAUAUCCUCAGUCAAGCCAUGGUCCAUAGAACCCAGUCAGUCAUGUGACUCAGGAAAGCUCAGUAAUUCAGUAAUCUCAAUAGUAUUCCAUCAGCUAACGAAACUUCAUGAAUUCAUUCUAGUCUAGUUCAGUUAAUCAUGUUCAGUGUCUAUUCAUAUGGGAGUAGGAAUUAGCACCGAGUGAACCCAAGGAUGGGAACUCACCUAUUAUUUGAGGGUGUGAUUCUUAGAAGCAAUCCUUGCAUUCUAGAACUAUGUAGCCAGCGUAUGUUGAGACAUUAUAGCUUGUUAUAUGAGGGUAGAUGAGGUGGCUUAAGCUUUUAUAUUAAGGUUCCCACCGUUCUCGCUAGAGUUACCUGUUAAUGAGGGUUACUCACAGAUUGUGCUUAGCAGUGGCGCGGUAUUGACACCCUUUAAAUUGGGAUUACCGAUUGGAUCCCAACUCCGCCAUAAUGGAAUAUUAGAGGCAUGUCGGUUAGAUGACUACUUCCCACAGCUUCGGUUAUAGAAUUAGGAUUGUCAGAUACAGUCAUUUAGUCUCAAUAAUAGAACUCAGAUAGUUCUAUAAAAUUCAGGGCUGUCAGAUACAAUCAACUCAGAAUAGUACAGAACUCAGCUAGUUUCAUCAGAAACUAGACGGUCAGAUAUAGUCGCUCAGUAUCAUUUAUUUUAGUUAUACUGUUUUCAGUAUCUCAUGUUAUCAGUACUCAGAUUCAGUAAUCAUGUUAUCACGACCCUAGUUACAGUUAUUAUGUAUUCAUGCAUGUAUUCUCAUGUUUAUAUUAUUCAGUUAGUUAGUAUAGAUCAUUCAUGUAAACCCUUUGCAUUUAGCCUACCUCACAUACAUACCAGUACAUUCAAAGUACUGAUGCAUUUGCGCUAUGAUGUCUUAUACCAUAGGUUCAAAAGUUCGAGCUCCAAAGUAUCAGUUGAAUUCUAAUCUCCGCAGUCAGAGUUAGCAAUGAGUCCUCAUAUUUCGAGGACAUGAUCAUUUCCUUAAUAUAUCAUUAAUUAGUUUAUUAGUUGGAGUUAGUUGGGGCCAUGUCCCAUCAUCUCCUUAUUCAGACAGUUAUGUUUUAGAGGCUUUUCAGACUACAAUAUGUUUAGAAAAUUUAAUUAUUUUUUUGGAUAUUAUGUUAUAGUUUGAACCUUAUGGCCUUUCAGUUCAUGUUUCUACAUUAUACAGUAUAUCAUGCAGUAUACAUACCCAGAUAUUAGUCAUGGGUUAGCUUGUGGUCUUUCAAGGUCAUGAGCACCGUGUAGUGUUUUGGGUACCAGAUUCGAGGCCUUACAAACUUAGUAUCAGAACCUAAGGUUCAAUAGUAUCCUAGGAAAUCUGAACGCCGUAUCUAGUAAAGUCUUGUGCAUGGGUGUGUUGCGCGCCACAUUUAUGUACAUGAGGCUAUGAGAUGUUUUAGGAACAGUUUCCCUUUUUUCAAUAUUUAUGUCGUGCCAGUGAGAAUAAUCUCAAGUCAAUCUCUUAGUCUAAUCCGUUUCUCCCUUUCAUCUAUAGAACAUGACUCCUAAAAGAAAAAAUAGGAGUCAGUCUACCCCUCAGCCCAAAGAACCUUUGGGCAAACAUGUUUCUUAUGUAGAGUUUAGAGCUGUAUUCACUACUCUUGAUCAGUCUGUUGCCACUCAGAAUAAAUGACCAGCUGUCGUUCUGGCCAACCCAGUGGCCAAUUCUGCUGCAUCCAGGAUUCGGGACUUCACCCUAAUGAAUCCUCUAUCCUUUCUCGGGUCUAAGUCAGAUGAGGACCAUCAGGAAUUUAUCAAUCAUGUUCAGAAGGUUAUCGAUCAUGUUUAGAAGGUUACUGAUGUUAUAGUGAUAUCAACUGUUGAGAGUGCUGAGCUAGCUGCAUAUCAGUUGCAGGAUAUUGAUCACACUUGGUACAAGCAGUGGAAGUCAGAUAGGUCGGUUGAUGUAGGAACUAUAGAGUAGGAGGAGUUUGUUACCACAUUUUUAGAGAGGGUCUUUCCCCUAGAGCUGAGAAAGGCUAUGGCAUUAGAAUUCAAUAACCUUAGGUAAGGCAACAUGAUGGUGAAAGAGUAUUCUCUUAAGUUUACUCAAUUAGCCAAAUAUGACCCUCAUGUGGUUGUAGACAGUAGGGCCAAGAUGAGUAAGUUUGUUUUUGGGAUGAAUGAUAGUGUGCUCAAUGAGUGUAGGUCUGUGAUGUUGAAUAGUAACAUGACUUUAGCGAGGCUUAUGACUCAUGCUCAGAAUAUAGAGGAGAAAAAGAUUAAGAUGAAGAAGAAGCAGAAUAAGAGAGCAAGAACAAGUAUUUUCAAAUUUUCUCAGCCCAAAUUAGAAGGAUAAAACUGUUCUCAGUUUUGUCUUAAGUCAUUAGUUCCAGAUCCUUCUUCAUCUAGUGCUCCAGCUCCUAAGUUCAGGGAUAGUAAUGAAGAUAGAGCACCAGGCUCUAAGUCUUAGGGCAGUAUUAGCAGUGCCCGCGCCUAUUUUCUUUGCUAGGAUUGUGACAAGCACCAUCAGGGUAUUUACAGAGCUGGUAGUGGUAUUUGUUUAGGAUAUACCAAGACAGGACACAGAGCCAGAGACUGUCCUUAUCUAGGUCCUCAGGGUCAGCAGAACCGUUCUUCAUCUCAGUCCGAUUGUGUAAAUCAGUAGGGUGCCACUUCCAAUGCUACUAGUGGGCAAUGCCCAAACAGACUCUAUGCACUCUAGUCCUGGGAUGAUCAGAAAAAUUCUCCUGAUGUGGUUACUAGUAUGUGACAGAUCUUUUAUGUGUAUGUUUACACUUUACUAGAUCCAGGUGCUUCUUUGUCUUUUGUUACUCCCUAUAUAGUAGUUGAUUUCGAAGUCAGUCCCGAAAUUCUAGCAGAGCCCUUUUAGUCUUUACCCCAGUGGGUAAAAUCAUCAUAGCCCACUGGGUAUACUGGAACUGUUCGGUUAGGAUAUUUUAGAAAGUUACCUCAGCAGAUUUAGUCGAAUUAGAUAUGAUGGAUUUUGAUGUCAUUCUUGGCAUGGAUUGGCUUCAUUCCUACUAUGCCACAGUCGACUGCAUACAUAGAAUAGUCCUGUUUUAGUUUUUGAAUGAACCCAUCCUAGAGUGGAGGGGUAGUACUUCAGCUUUCAAAGGUCAGCUUAUUUCCUACCUUCAAGCAUGAAAAAUGAUAUCUAAAGGAUGUUUCUAUCAUUUUGUUCAAGUUAAGAACACUACUUCCAAAACUUCCAGUCUUGAAUCAUUCCUAGUAGUGAAUGAAUAUUCAGAUGUAUUUCCCAAAGAUCUCCCAGGAAUUUUUUUUGAAAGGGAAAUAGGCUUCGGCAUUGAUCUUUUUCCAGAUACUCAGCCUAUAUCUAUUCCGCCAUACAGAAUGGCACCUGCAAAACUCAAAGAACUAAAAGAGAAGUUGAAGGAUCUCUUAGAUAAGGGAUUCAUCAGACCUAGUGUGUCUUUGUGGGGUGCACCAGUCUUAUUCGUGCCCAAAAAAGAUGGUUCUCUGAAAAUGUGCAUGGAUUAUCAUCUACUUAAUAAAGUUACGGUCAAGAACAAGUAUCCUCUUCACAGAAUUGAUGACUUGUUUGACCAACUUUAGGGUGCCAUCUAUUUUUCUAAGAUAGACCUCAGAUCAGGAUACCAUCAGCUAAGAGUCAGAGAAUGUGACAUUCCAAAGACAGCCUUUUGUACUCGGUAUGGUCACUUUAAAUUUCUAGUCAUGUGCUUUGGUCUUACCAAUGCCCCAACAACUUUCAUGGACUUGAUGAACUGUGUGUUCAAUCAGUACUUGGACAUGUUCAUCAUAGUCUUCAUAGAUGAUAUUUUGGUCUAUUCCCGCAAUGAGCGUGAUUAUGUAGACCAUCUCAGAAUUGUACUUCAGGCUCUCAAAAAUUUAUUAGUUGUUCGACAAAUUUAGUAAGUGUGAGUUUUGGAUAAGGUCAGUAGUAUUCCUUGGCCAUAUCAUUUCUGGUGAUGGCAUUAGGGCUGAUCCUCAAAAGACCAAAGCCGUAAGAAACUAGCCUCAUCCUAUCUCUCCAUUAGAUAUUAGGAGUUUCUUAGGUUUGGCUGGCUAUUACAGAUGGUUUGUUAAAGGAUUUUCUUCUAUUGCAUCCCCUAUGUCCAGAUUGACUCAGAAAAAAGUCAAGUUUCAGUCUUCAGAUCUUUGUGAGAAGAGUUUUCGGGAGUUGAAGACUCGACUCACCUCAGCCCUAGUUUUAGCUCUUCCAGACGGUCCAGAUGGGUUUGUAGUAUACUGUGAUGUAUCCAGAGUAGGUUUGGGUUGUGUCCUUAUGCAACAUGGUAAGGUCAUAUCCUACCCCUCCAGACAGCUUAAACUCUAUGAGAAGAAUUAUCCUACUCAUGAUCUUGAGUUAGCAUCCGUAGUAUUUGCCUUAAAGAUUUGGAGGCAUUAUUUAUACGAUGUUCAUGUAGAUGUGUUCACAGAUCAUAAGAGUCUCCAGUAUGUUUUUUCUCAGAAAGAUCUCAAUCUUUGUUAGAGAAGGUGGUUAGAGCUCUUGAAAGAUUAUGACAUGAGUGUUCUUUAUCAUCCGGUCAAGGCUAAAGUAGUGGCCGACGCUCUCAGUAGACUGUAUAUAGGUAGUGUUGCUCAUGUUGAGGAAAGUAAGAAGAAGUUAGAUUAGAAAGUCCAUCAUCUUGCCAGACUAGGAGUUCGCUUAGUCGAUUUAGAGGAGGGUGACAUAUGGGUUCAGAGUAGUUCAGAAUCAUCUUUAGUUUCCGAGGUAAAAUAAAAGCAAGAUAGAGACCCCAGUUUAGUCAAGUUGAAAGAGUCAGUUAAGGACUAGAAAGUAGAGGUUUUCUCCUAAGGGGGAGAUGGUGUUUUGCAUUGUCAGGGUCGUCUGAGUGUUCUAGGUAUAGAUGACUUAAGGUAGCAAAUUCUUGCAGAAGUGCAUGGUGCAUUCUACUCUAUUCAUUCAGGGGCCACAAAGAUGUACCGUAAAUUAUGGGAGAUCUAUUAGUGAAGUGGGAUGAAAAGAGAAGUUGUAGUUUUUGUGCCUAAGUGCCCUACAUGUCAACAAAUUAAGAUAGAGCAUCAAAUGCCUAGUGGGUCCAUGUAAGAGUUCCAUAUUCCUACUAGAAAGUAGGAAGAAGUAAACAUAGACUUUGUGAUAGGUUUACCUCAUACUCGUCAUCAGCAUGAUUCAGUUUGGGUCAUUGUAGAAAGAAUGACCAAAUUGGCUUUUUUCCUUCCAGUCCAUACCUCUUAUUCAGCUGAGAAUUAUGCCAAGCUCUACAUUAGAGAGUUGGUCAGAUUACACAGUAUUCCAUUACCCAUUAUUUCAGACAGAGGUACCCAGUUCACCUCUCAUUUUUGGAAAGCGUUCCAAAAGGGUCUUAGUACCUAAGUUCAUCUCAGUACAUCCUUUUAUCCUCAGAUAGAUGGUCAAGCAAAAAGGACCAUUCAGACCCUAGAAGAUAUGCUAAGGGUAUGUGCAAUUGAUUUUAAGGUUAGUUGGGAUGACCACUUUCCUUUGAUUGAGUUUGCAUACAAUAAUAACUAUCAUUCCAGUAUUUAGAUGGCUCCAUUCAAAGCUCUCCAUGGUAGGAGAUACAUAUCUCCAGUCGGUUGGUUUGAAGUUAGUGAGGCGUUGGUGAUAGGACCUGACUUUUUAUUCGAUGCCUUAGAGAAAGUACAGUUGUUCAAAGAAAGACUCUAGGCUGCUCAAAGCCGACAGAAGUCUUAUGCAGAUCUGUGUAGAAAGGAUCUCGAGUUCGAGGUUAGUGACUAUGUCUAUAUAAAGAACUCUCCCAUGAAGGGAGUGAAGAGGUUCGGCAAGAAGGAAAAGCACAAUCCCCAAUAUUUUGGUCCCUUCAAAAUGCUCAGUCGCUUUGACAAGGUAGCUUAUGAGUUCGAAUUGCCUUCAAAUCUAGCCUCAGUUCAUCCAUUUUUCCAUGUCUCUUUGCUUAAGAAGUGUAUAGGUGACCCAGCAGUUGUAAUCCUUAUUCAGAGCAUAGAUGUUCAGAACAAGCUUUCUUAUGAGGAGAUUUCAGUCAAAAUUCUAGACUACCAGACUCGUAGACUGAUGAACAAAGAAGUCUCUCUAGUCAAAGUACUUUGGCAGAAUCAGUCCGUUGAGGGGGAUACUUGGGAAGCAGAAGCAGACAUAUGUACCAAGUACCCUCACCUCUUCUCUACUGACUCAGAUCAAGCUUAAGGUAACAGUUCUCCUUAAGCUUUUUAGUUUUCAUGUCCAGAUUUUAGUUACAACUUGGUAUCAGCCUCAUGUUCAGGAUUCCAUUUCUAAACUUGGUACUACGUACCAUUGCAUAUCAAAUUAUAUGUUCAUGCAUCAGAUUAGUCAUGUGUUCAUGCAUCAGACAUGCAUUCUCCUUAUGAUAAGACUUAGUUAUUAGAAAUCUCAGUCAUGUAAUCAGUUCCAUCAUGUAUUCAUGCAUCAAAUAUGUGUGAUCAACUUAUUAGUACUCUCAGUCAUGAAAUCAUGCAUCAGAUAUUCAUACUCUGUAUAAAUCUCAGAAAUGUUAGUUAUGUAUUCAUGUUUCAGUUAUUCAUGAUCAGCAUGUACUUUAGCUUAUCAUUUCUCCUAUCUCAGUCAAUCACAUUCGUGGAUGAAUGUUCCCAAGGGGGAGAUAUUGUAAUACCUCAAAGUUUCUUAACUAAUUUCGUCCCAAGAAUGUCAAGUAUUAGCUUCUAAAUUUAAUAAUGUUUAUUCCAUAAGAGAUUUUUAAUAUUUUUACUUUUUGUGAUGUGGGAAAUUCAAUAAGCUUUCCAUCGAUAUAAAAUUUGUCUAAAUCCGAUAACUGGGUAAGAAGUUAUGACCAUUUCGAGUCCCUAUCAUAAAAAAGUGCCAUAUUGGUCAGUUGCGUGCCGUGCAACAAGAUAAAAUGGCAAUUUUCCUUUUUCUAGUGUUCUAACGCGAUUUCGCCGCAUCGCGCCAGGGGCCCAGGUCAGGAAAUUUUCACCAAUAUUAAAAGAUGCAUCUAGGGUUAAAAGGGUCAAUUUCCCACCCCUAUUAAAACCCAAUAACAUGUGAUUUAGGCAUUUUUCACCCAAAAUAUACUAGUUUAUCUCAAUUUUCUCUCAAGAACAAACUAGGGUUUCAAUUGGGGAUUCAAUUUUAAGAAAAUCUCUCCAUCAAUAUUCGCUAAAUCAAGAACUAAGGUAUACAUUGUGUUGAUUUAUGGAUUUCUUUCAUCCAUAAAUCUCAAGAACCCUAUUUUAAAUUAUGAAUCAUGAUUAUUAUGUUGUGGGUUGCUCAAGUUAUGUGAUGGUUGUUGUUUGACUCCCAUGUUGGGAUCCUUAUGUGAAAUUAUGAAUACUACGUUAGCAUAUAAAUUGAAAUCCAUGAAUUUAGUGGUUUAUGAUUUAUAAAAUUUGAUGAUUUCACCUAUGCCUUAAGUUGUGCAUGUAAGGUGUUUGAUAAAAUACCUAAAGGGAUGGAAAUUAAGCACUAUAGCUAAAUUGUGACCCAAAUGACAAUGUAUGCUUUAACCUUAUGUUCAAAAUGACUUCUAUGUUAUUCUUAUGUAUUGAAAUUGCUUGUGGGAUUGCUCAUGAGUUAGCCUUAUGAAAUUAUGCUAUGUAUACAUGCUAUCUUAUUCACGUACCAAGCUAUGAUAAUCAAAUGCCCAUGAAAUAUCUCCAACUAUUGUAUUAUGGAUUGUUGAUGUUGGUCAUAUAUUCAAUAAUGUCAUGCCUUGUCAAUUUCCUUACAUCGAUUCCUGGGGGUACUUGUACCCAUAAAAUAUAGAUGUGUGUUUAGAUUUAGUGUCAUGUUUCCACGAUAUCCUCAGUCAAGCCAUGGUCCAUAGAACCUAGUCGGUCAUAUGACUCAGGAAAGCUCAGUAAUUUAGUAAUCUCAAUAGUAUUCUAUUAGCUAAUGAAACUCCAUGAAUUCAGUCUAGUCCAGUUCAGUUAAUCAUGUUCAGUGUCUAUUCAGAUGGGAGUAGGAAUUAGCACCGAGUGAACCCAAGGAUGGGAACUCACCUGUUAUAUGAGGGUGUGAUUCUUAGAAGCAAUCCUUACCUUCUAGAACUACGUAGCCAGUGUAGGUUGAGACAUCAUAGCUUGUUAUAUGAGGGUAGAUAAGGUGGCUUAACCUAUUUUAUUAAGGUUUCCACCGUUCUCACUAGAGUUACCUGUUAUAUGAGGGUUACUCACAGAUUGUCCUUAGCAGUGGUGCGGUAUUGACACCCUUCCAAUUAGGAUUACAGAUUGGAUCCCAACUCAGCCAUAAUGGCAUAUUAGGGGCAUGUCGGUUAGAUAAAUACUUCCCACAGUUUUGAUUACAGAAUUAAGACUGUCAGAAACAGUCAUUUAGUCUCAGUAAUAGAACUCAGAUAAUUCUGUAAAAUUCAGGGCUGUCAGAUACAGUCAACUCAGAAUAGUAUGAAACUCAGUUAUUUCCAUCAGAAACUAGACUGUCAGAUACAGCCGCUCAGUAUCUUUCAAGGACAUGACCAUUUAUUUAUUAUCUCAUUAAUUAGUUUAUUAGUUGGAGUUAGUUGGGGACAUGUCCCAUUAUCUCCUUAUUCAGACAGUUAUGUUUUAGAGGCUUUUUAGACUACAGUAUAUUUAGACAGUUUUAUUUUGGACAUUUAUACCCCAUCCCAGAUGUUAUAUUUUAUCAGAUAUUAUGUUACAGUUUGAACUUUAUGGCCUUUCAGUCCAUGUUUCCAUAUUAUACAGUAUAUCAUGCAUUAUAUAGGAACAUAUAUCAGUCAUGGGUUAGCUUGUAGUUCUUCGAGUUCACGAGCACCAUGUAGCGUUCUGGGUACCAGAUUAGGGGCGUUACAAACUAUAAUUAAGAUGGCAACUAAGUUUUGAUAGUUACGCAAUAAAGAAUGACAUAAGUCAAGGAUCUGAAAGUUACUCUCACUCUGUACUUUCCCAACUUCUAAUUACAACCUCUUUCUAGCCCUUUACUUGUAUACUUAACAUAACAUUCAAGCCUAUCUUCAUUACUACACCCUUGGGUAAUGUAAUACCUCGCAUGUUUCUAAGCUAGGAAAUGAAUAAGUAUUCCUACAUAUGAAAUCUCCUAUCCUGUAAUUCAUACUUGAGUACAUGACUUACAGUGAAUGUCCUAGUGAUAGGAUAGCUUAUGAUCCAUUAAGCAUGUUCAUAUGAGUCACUUAAGGUAAUACAAGCUACGAGUUUUUUGAAUCCAUCAAGUUUUAGUGUUUGAUUUUGCAAGGGUCAUCUUUGAAUGAGUAUAGCUUAAUGUUAAUGUGGUAUUUUGGAGGAUUUAUACCCACCAAAUUAUAUAGAAUUGAAUUAGCUUUCCAACGAUACCAAUUUUGCCUUAAUCCAAUACCCGGACAAAAAGUAAUGCCCAUUUUUGUGAGAGACAGUAAGGAUAGGUGAUUGGUUAGGCGCCACCCAACCAAACAUAGGCGAUUGGUUUGGUGCCAUGCAACCUAGCUUAGGCAAUCACUUGGGUUCCGCCUAAGUUAGUUCUAGGUGCGAAAAACACUCCGUUUUGAGUUAUUUUAAGGGUAAUAAGUCUUUUAACACUCCUUACACGUCCCUAAACUUAACCCUACAAAAUAUAUAGCUUUUAAACAUAUUACAACCCUAUUAUCAUCUCAAAGCUCAUCAUCCAAGAGCACUAAAAGAGAAAAACAACUAGGGUUGUGUAACUAAGCUUGAAGAUCUGAUUUCAAGGAAAUUCCUCCGUCAAUCAUCAAGAAUCNNNNNNNNNNNNNNNNNNNNNNNNNNNNNNNNNNNNNNNNNNNNNNNNNNNNNNNNNNNNNNNNNNNNNNNNNNNNNNNNNNNNNNNNNNNNNNNNNNNNNNNNNNNNNNNNNNNNNNNNNUUGAUGUUCAUGUGGUUGGAGUUUGAUGAUGCCUAAGAUGGGAUCUUUGUAUGUUUAUUGUGAGGAUAUGGUGGUAUUUAACGUAUAAAUAUGUGAAAUUGGUGGUUGAAUAUUUGUAAUCUUGAUGAAUCCACCUAUUCCUAAGAUGACCAUUUGCGCUAUGGUGCUUUCUUUUCAUGUUACACCAUAGGUUCCGAGACACGAGCUCUAGCCAGCAGUAGCGGUAGCAUUCCAGUCGCAGAGACACAGUGAGUCCUCAUUGAUUUGAGGAUAAUAUGAUUUGAUACAUUUAUUUGUUUCUUCAGUUCAGUUUUACAGAGUUAGUUGGAGACGUGUUCCUUCAAUUCCUUAUUUAGAUAGUUUAGAGGCUUUCAAAUUUAUGUACAGACUUAGCUUUCAGAUUGAGUUGUUUUGGGUAUUUUCACCUACAUGAUUUUAUUCAGUUGAACCUUAUGGCCUUAUAGUUCUAUGUAUUCUACAUUAUUAUAUCAUGAUUUGCAGUAUAUAGGUACAAAUAUCAGUCAUGGGUUAUCUUGUGGUCCCUCGGGGUCAUGAGCACCGUGUAGCAUUCCGGUUCAGCGAAUCGGGGUGUUACAAACUUGGUAUUAGAGCCUAAGGUUCAAUAGAGUCCUUGGAAGUCUGAAAGCCACAUUUAGUAGAGUCUUAUACAUGGGUAUGUUGUGCGCCACAUUUAUGUGCAGGAGGCUAUAAGAUGUAUUUGGAACAGUCCCCUUUCUUCAUUAUUCAUGUCAUGCUAGUGAGCAUAAUCACAAGUUAAACUCUUAGUCUAAUCCAUUUUUCUCUUAUUCCAGACCAUGGUUCCAAAGAGAAGAAACCAACCAGCACCUCAGCCCGAAGAUCCUUUGGGCAAACAUGUUUCCCAUGCAGAGUUUAGAGCCGCAUUUACCACAUUUGCUCAGUCCAUGACUACACAGAAUGAAUGGCCACCAGUCAUUCUGGCCAAUCCAAUGGCUAAUUCUAAAGCAUCUAGGGUUCGGGACUUUACCCGAAUGAACCCUUCAUUUUUCCAUGGGUCUAAGUCUGAUGAGGACCCUCAGGAGUUCAUUGACCAAGUCCAGAAGGUCAUUGACAUCAUGAGUGUUACUUCUAUUGAGAGUGCUGAGUUAGCCGCCUACCANNNNNNNNNNNNNNNNNNNNNNNNNNNNNNNNNNNNNNNNNNNNNNNNNNNNNNNNNNNNNNNNNNNNNNNNNNNNNNNNNNNNNNNNNNNNNNNNNNNNNNNNNNNNNNNNNNNNNNNNNNNNNNNNNNNNNNNNNNNNUUCCCUAAGAGCUAAGGGAAGCUAAAUUUUUUGAGUUCAUUAACCUCAGGUAGGGGAAUAUGAUGGUUAGGGAGUAUUCUCUCAGAUUUACUCAGCUAGCCAGGUAUGCUCCUCUUGUGGUUGCAGACAAUAGAGCUAAGAUGAGCAAGUUCGUGUCAGGGGUCAACGAUACUAUGGUAAAUGAGUGUAGGUCUGCAAUGCUGAUCGGUGAUAUGACCUUAGCCAGACUCAUGACCCAUGCCCAGCAAGUAGAAGAGCAGAAGUUUAAGACAAGGGAGAGGCAGAACAAGAGAGCAAGGUUAGGUACUUAAACUCUGCUCACCCCAAGUCAUAUGGAGGAAACCAUUCAUAGUUUCACUCUAAGUCAGCUGUUCCAGCUCCUUCCUCUGCCAGUGCUCCAGAGCCGAAGUUCAGAGACGACAAUAGAGACAAAGCUCCAGGCUCUAAAUCUCAGGGCAGUGUCAGGAGUGCUCGAAAAAAUCCCCUUUGUCAGACUUGUGGUAAGAACCACAAGGGUAUUUGCAGAGCCGGUAGUGAUGUCUGUUUUGGUUGUGGCAAGCCAAGCCACAGAUUUGGGAGUGUCUGUAGUCAAGUCUUCAGGGUCAGCAAAAUCAUUCUACAGUUCAGUCCAGUUGCCCGAACCAGCAAGGUGCCAUUUCCAGUGCUACCAGUGGGCAAUGCCUAAAUAGACUCUAUGCUCUUCAGUACUGACAAGAUCAGGAAAAUUCUUUCGAUAUCGUUACUGGUAUGUUACAGAUUUUCCAUGUUCAUGUUUAUGCUUUGCUAGACCCAGAUGUAUCUUUUUCUUUUGUUACUCCAUACAUAGCAGGCAAUUUUGAAAUUUGUCCCGAAGUCCUAGUAGAGCCUUUAUCAGUCUCUACCCUAGUGGGUAAAACCAUCAUAGCCCAGCGGGUAUACAGGAACUGUCCAGUUAUGAUAUCUUAAAAAUCCACAUCAACAAAUUUAGUGGAGUUAGAGAUGACUGAUUUUGAUGUCAUUCUCGGCAUGGAUUGGCUUCAUUCCUACUAUGCCACAGUCGACUGCAGAAANNNNNNNNNNNNNNNNNNNNNNNNNNNNNNNNNNNNNNNNNNNNNNNNNNNNNNNNNNNNNNNNNNNNNNNNNNNNNNNNNNNNNNNNNNNNNNNNNNNNNNNNNNNNNNNNNNNNNNNNNNNNNNNNNNNNNNNNNNNNNNNNNNNNNNNNNNNNNNNNNNNNNNNNNNNNNNNNNNNNNNNNNNNNNNNNNNNNNNNNNNNNNNNNNNNNNNNNNNNNNNNNNNNNNNNNNNNNNNNNNNNNNNNNNNNNNNNNNNNNNNNNNNNNNNNNNNNNNNNNNNNNNNNNNNNNNNNNNNNNNNNNACAGAACUCAAGGAACUAAAAGAUUAGUUGAAGGAUCUCUUAGAUAAGGGAUUCAUCAGACCUAGCAUUUCCCUAUGGGGUGCCCCAGUAUUAUUCGUGUGCAAGAAAGAUGGUUCUCUCAGGAUGUGUAUUGAUUACCGUCAACUCAACAAGGUCAUGUUCAAGAAUAGAUAUCCUUUUCCCAGGAUUGAUGAUCUGUUUGACUAACUUCAGGGUGCCAGUUACUUCUCCAAGAUAGACCUCAGAUCAGGCUAUCAUCAGCUCAGAGUUAGAGAAUGUGACAUUCCAAAGACAACUUUCCGUACUUGGUAUGGUCAGUUUGAAUUUUUAGUCAUGUCAUUUGGUCUUACCAAUGUCCCUGUAGCUUUUACGGAUUUGAUAAACCGUGUUCAAGCAGUACUUGGACAUGAUUGUCAUAGUCUUUAUAGAUGAUAUUCUGGUCUACACUCGCACAGAGCGUGAUCAUGCAGACCAUCUCAGGAUUGUUCUUCAAACUCUUAGGGAUCACAAGUUAUUUGCUAAGUUCAGCAAGUGCAAAUUUUGGCUAAGAUCAGUAGCAUUCCUUGGCCAUAUUGUUUUUGGUGAUGGCAUUAGAGUAGAUCCUCAGAAAACUGAGGCAGUAAAAAAUUGGCCCAGACCCGUAGCUCCAUCAGAUAUUUGGAGUUUCUUGGGUUUGGCUGGCAUUACAGAUGGUUUGUCGAGGGAUUUUCUUCUAUUGCAUCUCCCAUGUACAGAUUGACUCAGAAGAAGAUUAAGUUUCAGUGGUCAGAUUCAUGCGAGAAGAGCUUUUAAGAGUUGAAAACUGGACUCACCUCAGCUCCAGUUCUAGCUAUUCCAGAUGGUUCAGACGGUUUUGUAGUCUAUUAUGAUGCAUCCAGAGAGGGUUUAGGUUUUUUCCUCAUGCAGCAUGGUAACGUCAUAGCCUACGCCUCCAGAUAGUUAAAGCCACAUGAGAAGAUUUAUCCUACUCAUGAUCUUGAGUUUGCAGCGGUAGUUUUUGCCUUGAAGAUUUGGAGGUAUUAUCUCUAUGGAGUUCAUGUAGAUGUCUUCACAGACCAUAAAAGCCUCCAGUAUGUCUUUUCCCUGAAAGAUCUCAAUCUUCGUCAGAGAAAGUGGUUAAAGCUCUUGAAGGAUCACGACAUGAGUGUUCUUUAUCAUCCGGGCAAGGCCAAUGUUAUGGAUGACGCUCUCAGUCGACUCUCUAUGGGUAGUAUUUCUCACGUUGAGGAUAGUAAGAAAAAGAUAGCUCAGGUGAUCCAUCAGCUUUCCAGACUAGGCAUUCGCUUAGUCGAUUCUUCAGAGGAUGGUGUAUGUGUUCAUAGUAGUUCAGAGACAUCUCUAGUUUCCGUGGUGAAAGGGAAAUAAGCCAGGGAUCCUAGCCUUGUCAAGCUCAAAGAGUCAGUUCAAAAUCAGAAAGUCAAGGUUUUCUCCCAAGGGGGAGAUGGUGUUCUUCGUUGUCAGGGUCGUCUAUGUGUUCCAUAUGAAUUGAGGUAGCGAAUUCUUGCAGAAGCACAUAGUGCACGAUACUCUAUUUAUCCAGGGGCCACUAAGAUGUACCGCGACAUGCGGGAGAUCUAUUGGUGGUGUGGGAUGAAGAGAGAUGUUGUAGAGUUUGUGGCUAAGUGCUCUACAUGUCAGCAAGUUAAGAUAGAGCAUCAGAAACCUAGUGGUUCCAUGCAACAGUUCACUAUUCCUACUUGGAAGUGGGAAGAAGUUAACAUGGACUUCAUGACGGGUUUUCCUAGAACUCAUCAUCAACAUGAUUCAGUCUGGGACCAUUCAGACUUUUGAAGAUAUGCUAAGGGCAUGUGCAAUUGACUUCAAGGGAAUUUGGGACGACCACUUUCCUUUGAUUGAGUUUGCAUACAACAAAACCUAUUAUUCUAGUAUUCAGAUAGCUCUAUUCAAAGUUCUCUAUGGUAAGAGAUGUAGAUCUCCGAUUGGUUGGUUCAAAGUUAGUGAGGCCUCAAUCAUAGGUCCUGACUUAGUAUUCGACGCCUUAGAGAAAGUUCAGUUGAUUAGAGAGAGACUCCGAGCUACUCAGAGCUAACAAAAGUCCUAUGCAGAUGUUCGUAGAAAGGAUCUCGUGUUCCUGGUUAGUGACUAUGUCUAUCUUAAUAUCUCUCCCAUGAAGGGAGUGAAGAGGUUCGGAAAGAAAGGGAAACUCAGUCCCCGAUAUGUCGGUCCCUUCAAAAUUUUUUGUCGCUUCGGCAAUGUAGCUUAUGAGCUUGAGUUUCUUUCAGAUCUAGCCUAAGUCUAUCCAGUCUUCCAUAUCUCUUUGCUAAAUAAGUGCAUAGGUGACCCAACAGUUGUUGUCCCUAUUCAGAGCAUUGACAUUCAGAAAAGCCUCUUUUAUGAAGAGAUUCCAGUGGAAAUCUUAGAUUAUCAGACUCGUAGAUUCAAGAACAAAUAAGUUCCUCUAGUCAAGGUUCUUUGGCGAAAUCAGUAUCAUGAGAGAGCUAAUUGGGAAGUAGAAGCAGAUAUGCAUACCAAGUAUCCUCACCUCUUCCCCGCCAAUUCAGAUUAAGAUCAAGUUAAUAGUUCUCCUUAAGCUUAUUCAGUUUCACAUUCAUAUUUCCAGUAUAAACUUGGUACCUAUUAACCAUUUCAUACUCAUUCAUUCAUUCAUGUGUCAGUUGUCCGUGCAUCAGAUAUGUACGAGUUCAGUAUGUUUAGCAUAUUAGUCAUGAGAUCAAGUUUCAGUUCUUCAUGUUCAGUUCAGGUUCUAUUGUCUUGUAUCCUUUCUCAGUAAAUUCUCAUUCGAGGAUGAAUGUUUCCAAGGGAGAGAUAUUGUAAUGCCCCACAUGUUUCUAAGCUAGGAAGUGAAUAAGUAUUCCUACGUAUGAAAUCUCCUAUCCUAUGAUUCAUACUUGAGUACUUGACUUACAAUGAAUAUCCUAGUGAUAGGAUAGCUUAUGAUACAUUAAGCAUGUUUAUAUAAGUCACUUAAGGUAAUACAAGCUAAGGGUUUUUGAAUCCAUCAAGUUUUAGUGCUUGAUUUUGCAAGGGUCAUCUUUGAAUGAGUAUAACUCAAUGUUAAUAUCUCAUUUUGGCUGAUUUAGACCCACCAAAUUGUAGAGAAUGAAUUAGCUUUCCAACGAUACCAAUUUUGCCUUAAUCCAAUACCCGAGCGAAAAGUUAUGCCCAUUUUCGUGAGAGACAGUAAGGACAAGCGAUUGGUUAGGCGCCGCCCAACCAAACAUAGGCGAUUGGUUUGGUGCCGUGCAACCUAGCUUAGGCAAUCACUUGGGUUCCGCCUAAGUUAGUUCCAGGUGCGAAAAACACUCCGUUUUGAGUUAUUUUAAGGGUAAUAAGUCUUUUAACACUCCUUACACGUCCCUAAACUUAACCCUACAAAAUAUAUAGCUUUUAAACAUAUUACAACCCUAUUAUCAUCUCAAAGCUCAUCAUCCAAGAGCACUAAAAGAGAAAAACAACUAGGGUUGUGUAACUAAGCUUGAAGAUCUGAUUUCAAGGAAAUUCCUCCGUCAAUCAUCAAGAAUCUUUCUUCUAAGGUAUGUAUGAGUUGAUUCACGGAUUCCUUUCGUCCAUGAAGCUCAAGAACCAUCUUCUAAAUUUUGUAUUAUGAUGUUUAUGUUGUUUUUGGUUGUUGUUCAUGUGGUUGGAGUUUGAUAAUGCCUAAGAUGGGAUCUUUGUAUGUUUAUUGUGAGGAUAUGGUGGUAUUUAACGUAUAAAUAUGUGAAAUUGGUGGUUGAAUAUUUGUAAUCUUGAUGAAUCCACCUAUGCCUAAGAUGUGCAUGUAAGGUGUUUGUGAAAAUACCUAAGGGAAUAGAAAUCAUGCUUUUAUGACAUAAUAAGUCCUAAAUGACUNNNNNNNNNNNNNNNNNNNNNNNNNNNNNNNNNNNNNNNNNNNNNNNNNNNNNNNNNNNNNNNUGCUAUUGUCUUGAAUUGAAGAAGUUGUACGAGAUGCUCAUGAUAUUGUUGCGAUAUGGAAUGACCAUGUUAUUGAAGCCAUGCAAGUAUAUACAUGUUGUGUGCAUUCCCGAUCAUGUGAUAGUUUGUUGAGAAUCAUUCUUAUUAUGAAAGCCUUACUUAUGAUAUUGUGAAUUGUGGACUCAAAUCUUGUGAUCAAGUCAUGUCAUGUAUGUCAGUUUCCUCCUAUCGAGUCCUGGGGGUACUUGUACCCAAAAACUAUAGCUGUGUACCUAGAGCCAUGUCAUGUUUUACGAUAUCCGAACUCAAGCUAUGAUUCUAUAGACUUCAUUAAGUCAUGUGACUCAGGAAAACCUCAAUAUCUUAGUCAGUUGUUAGAUAUCAGUAACAUUCCGCCAGUCAAUGGAAUUCAGUAAGAUUAAGUCAUGCACAGUCAGUUAUUCAUGUCCAGUACCUCCAGAUGGGAGUAGAGGGUAGCACCGAGUAAACCCAAGGAUGGGAACUCACCCGCCAGUUCAGGGUAUGAUUCUUAGUAGUCAUCCUUGUGUUUCAGAACUAUGUAGCCAGCGUAGGUUGAGACAUCUUAACCCGUCAGAUNNNNNNNNNNNNNNNNNNNNNNNNNNNNNNNNNNNNNNNNNNNNNNNNNNNNNNNNNNNNNNNNNNNNNNNNNNNNNNNNNNNNNNNNNNNNNNNNNNNNGUAUUGACACCCCUCCAGUCAGGGCAGAGAUUGGACCCCAGCUUAGCCAUAAUGGCAUACAUAGGGCAUGUCGAUUAAACACUACUUCCCACAGUUUCAGUAUCAGUCUUAAUAAAAAAACUCAGGGCGUUCUUCAGAUUUUAGUAUAUACAGGACUGUCAGAUACAUUCGUCCAUGUUAUCAGUUUCAGUAUCAGUCGUGACAGUUAUCAUUAAACCAUGUAUUAGCAUACAUAUCAUGCUAUCACGUAUUCACGGUCCUAGUUUCUAUAUAUGUGUGUUUGCAUUCCCACGUUCAUAUUAGUCAGUCAGUGUUGUUCAUGCAUGAAACCCUUUAUGUUCAGCCUACCUUCCUCGUAUACUCAGUACUCCAGUUGUACUGACACAUUUGUGCUAUGGUGCUUUCUUUUCAUAUUACACCAUAGGUUCCGAGACACGAGCUCUAGCCCAGCAGUAGCGGUAGCAUUCCACUCACAGAGACACAGUGAGUCCUCAUUGAUUCGAGGACAAUAUGAUUUGAU